UCAGCAAAUCCAAAAUAAAUAUAAUAUAUUAAACAUCAAGCUUAUGCACAAUAAAAUCAUAUUAUACUAAAAAUAUAAUAUCAAAAUUUAAUUAAAAACAUACAUAUGAAGCUGUAAGGCCCAAUAUUUGCCCGGCCUUUAAUAAAAAUAUAUAUCAAAUCAAAAUAAAAAUAAAAACAAAUUUUUAUGUCCAUUAACAUUGCCCAAACGUAAACUCGAUUCUAAACCCAAUACAAUACCAAUACACCACCUAAUUACAAAAUCCAACUACAAAAUAGCCCAAACCCGAAUUCCCUAAUGCUCAACCUAAUCAGCCCAAUGCCGAAUCUAACCUCAAUCAGGAAACCCUAGCCUUCAACAGCUUUCGGCUCCAGCUGCCUCACGAGGAAGCUGGGUUCGUUCGUGCGUGUGCCACAAUAUCCAACUCCUCCACGCGCGUCUUUUCCUGGCCUCGCACUUGCAACAACUCGCAGCAAACACAUAGCGACAAACAAUAACAGAAAACACAGCAGAAAAGAGAAAAUUUGAGGGAUUUCUCUGUAUUUUUAUUUUUUAUUGUUAUUCUUUUAUUUUUGGCUGUAAAAAGCCAAUUGUAACACUGAAAGGGGGAUCUUUUUUUUAAAAAAAAAUUGAAUAGAGAAAGCAAAAAAGUUUCAGAGAAGCAAAAAAAGCAAAAACUCCAAAGGUGAUUGCAAUGUUCCUUUUUUUCUCUGGUUUAUUCUUUUCUAUUUAUUUAUUCAGCAAUUAUGUAAAAAAAAAAGGGGAGGAAUAAGAGAGGAGAAGGAAAACUUACCAUCGGGGGGCACCAAUGAAGCCCUCCCUCCGAGCAAAACGGAGUUAAACGGGCAGAGGUGAAGGUGAAGCGGCAGAAGAAGGGAAGCUGAAGGCUGUGCUCUCCGUUCUUCUGCGAGUUUGAGAGGAAUUUUACCUUUGCGUGCCGUUGUAGCCAUCUUCUACUCUAUCCGAAUCGGAAUGAGAGAGAGGAGAGCCCAGGCUUUCAAGGUGGCGGAUAAGGGAGGGGCAUCGUUUAGGGUUUAUUCCCUUGUUGUUGUUUUUUUUUUCUGACUGAAUGAACCUUGUUUAGGGUUUUUUUAUUUAUACCAUUCAUCCAAGCGGCACCGUUUUGUCGGCUACUGACCCGCGUGGUGACCCGAUUCAGGGAAGGAUCCGCGCACUUUGGGCGUUUGGUCUAUUUGCGCAUACGGUCCCCUUGGUUUUAUAAUUUAUCUCUAAAUCAUUUUAUCUAUUUCGCCUUAUUUUAUUUUAUUUUUGAAUUACAUCAAGCAUUUUAUUUUUAUAGCGUUCUAGUCCAACGUAGCACUGCGCAUAAAGGUUAUUAGGAUAUUUUCUAUUUAGAUCCUUG
rnacentral:lncRNA from 1 species